CCUACGGGUGGCUGCAGUGGGGAAUUUUGGACAAUGGGCGCAAGCCUGAUCCAGCCAUUCCGCGUGAGUGAAGAAGGCCUUCGGGUUGUAAAGCUCUUUCGCAAGGGAAGAAAACUUAUCCUCUAACAUAGGAUGAGGUUGACGGUACCUUGAUAAGAAGCACCGGCUAACUACGUGCCAGCAGCCGCGGUAAUACGUAGGAAGCACGCGUUGAUCGGAGUUACUGGGCGGAAUGCUAAGUCAGACGGUAAAUCCCCGAGCUCAACUUGGGAACUGCGUUUGAAACUACAAGACUAGAAUAGGUCAGAGGGGGGUAGAAUUCCACGUGUAGCAGUGAAAUGCGUAGAGAUGUGGAGGAAUAUCAAUGGCGAAGGCAGCCCCCUGGGAUCAUAUUGACGCUCAUGCACGAAAGCGUGGGGAGCAAACAGGAUUAGAUACCCCAGUAGUC
rnacentral:rRNA from 1 species